rnacentral:misc_RNA from 1 species
CAGGACUCGCAAGACUCCUUCAACCCUGUGAACUUACUACAAAGCACGUUGCUUCGGCGGGUGCCCCGGGUCCCCCGGGGCGCUGAGCCCGCCGGCAGCAUACCAAUCCUGUCUCUCUGCGUUGGCAUCUCGAGAAAACACAAAUAAGUUA